AUUGAACGCUGGCGGCAUGCCUUACACAUGCAAGUCGAACGGUAACAGGUCUUCGGAUGCUGACGAGUGGCGAACGGGUGAGUAAUACAUCGGAACGUGCCUAGUAGUGGGGGAUAACUACUCGAAAGAGUGGCUAAUACCGCAUGAGAUCUACGGAUGAAAGCAGGGGAUCGCAAGACCUUGUGCUACUAGAGCGGCCGAUGGCAGAUUAGGUAGUUGGUGGGAUAAAAGCUUACCAAGCCGACGAUCUGUAGCUGGUCUGAGAGGACGAUCAGCCGCACUGGGACUGAGACACGGCCCAGACUCCUACGGGAGGCAGCAGUGGGGAAUUUUGGACAAUGGGCGAAAGCCUUAUUCAGCAAUGCCGCGUGCAGGAUGAAGGCCUUCGGGUUGUAAACUGCUUUUGUACGGAACGAAAAGCCCCGGGUUAAUACCCUGGGGUCAUGACGGUACCGUAAGAAUAAGCACCGGCUAACUACGUGCCAGCCGCCGCGGUAA
rnacentral:rRNA from 1 species